UUAAAAUUAUUACUAUAAUACAUGACAUUAUUUCUAAUAAUUUAAUGAGUAAUUUAAUAAAACUUUAUAUUCUACCUAAUUCAGUAGACUAACAUUCGUAACAUCUGUAUUUUUGGAGAAACGGCGGCAAUAAAAGUUCUAUACUUCUUUAAUGUUCAUCGUAUGUUAUUUCAUAAUGAAUUUAUGCAUUAUAACAAAAAUACCAGUUGGGCCUUAGUUAAAUGAUGGUAUGGAUCCCUCGAAAGGAAAAGAAAAAAAAAAGAGGAAAAAAUAUGAUGCACAUUGUUUAUGUCUUCUCCGUGACCAGCGACUCUUCCUCUUCGCCGUUUUAGUCGUGUGUGUGAUUCGUGUGGGCUUUAGUUAUAUUUGGGCUUUCGAUUAAUUUCUGAGAAUAACAGCUCGCUUAUCAUCUCCGCCUAGAUGAAACGACGUGUUUUCGUUUAGGGUUAAACCUGUGUUCUUCUUCGCCUCUCCAGAGCUCAAACGACAAUGGUGAUUCUGAAAGUCCGAAGAGACGAAUCGUCGUCCAGAGACUCCGAAUUACGCUUCGUUACAGUCGUUUCGAGUUCAUUCCUAUCCUUCCAGACGUUUUGACGCCACAUUCAUCGCCUUUAAGAUACAUCUUAACUCCAUCGAGGCUCAUCAAGGACGAUGCCACAUUCAAUGUUACUUUUAUCUGUUCAAGGAGGUGAUUUCAGACCUAUAAAUAAGCUGGCCAGUGUUCUUCCAUGGUGGAGUCUGAUUGCUGAGAUUCGGGGAGGGUGGGUCGAAAUGUCAAGCGUGGUGGGGAGUUGAUGGGGUUGACAUGCUCCUCCUUGAUGCUGAGGCAACACUUAUUCAAGUGUUCAUUGUCUUCCCACUAGCAAGCGACUGGGUUCUAUGUUUUACUUUGAUUUCACUUGGUGUUAUCAGAACUAUAGGCUCUCCGAGCUGGUCUCGAGAAACACUGGGAACAACCCAGAUCCUUCAUUGCUGGAGGAUAUGCCAAGGUUGAACCACUGAGCAUAUCUGAGCUGAAUGAGUUCGUCAUCACAGCCGAGCCUUAGGAGAUUGAAUUUGUCUGCACUGGAAUGGUGAGUGAAAUCAAGAUGGACAAAGGCUGGUGUUACGUUUCCUGCUCCAGGUGCACAAGAAUCUCCAAAGAACUGUCUCAUUUUUGACUUGCGUGUCCUGCAACAACACAUGCGUUUUUGGAGUGCUCUGGUAUAUUGGAUCAUUUGUUUUUCCCCGUUUUGAAAAUUCUCACAUACAGUCAAAAUGGUUUUCAUACAAUUUAUUACAAGGUACCGGGUGGAGAUGAGCAUUGCUGACGACACAGAUGAGGGUCUAUUUGUGGCUUUCGAUGGAGUACGUAGCAUUAUCUAACGCUGGCAUUGAAGGUUACAAAUGUGUGGAAACCUCAUCUGCAUGAACAUCCUCCAUUGGUCCUGCCACCAAGAAGCCUCGCCUUUCAACAAUUUUGAAUGUGGUCAAGAAGGUAUGAAAGGCUUAAGGGAACAUGACGGAGUUUCUAGAGUCAGUUUUCUUCUUUCAAUAAUGCUUAGCCAUCAAUGUUAUUUUUUUAACUUUGAAUUCUCGAGUCAUAUUUCCUCUUUGAAUAGUGCUUAGGCAUCAAUGUUUUUCUUCUUCUAAUUUUCUCCUCAUCUGGAGUUUGCUAUGUUUUUUCUUAGCUACCGUGAAAAUGGUCUUGAGUUUCAGGCA